UUAGUUGGUAGGGUAACGGCCUACCAAGACGAUGAUCAGUAUCCGGCCUGAGAGGGCGCACGGACACACUGGAACUGAAACACGGUCCAGACUCCUACGGGAGGCAGCAGUGGGGAAUUUUGCGCAAUGGGGGAAACCCUGACGCAGCAACGCCGCGUGGAGGAUGAAGUCCCUUGGGACGUAAACUCCUUUCGAUCGGGACGAUUAUGACGGUACCGGAAGAAGAAGCCCCGGCUAACUUCGUGCCAGCAGCCGCGGUAAUACGAGGGGGGCGAGCGUUGUUCGGAAUUAUUGGGCGUAAAGGGUGCGUAGGCGGCGCGGUAAGUCUGUGGUGAAAGUCCGGGGCUCAACCCCGGAUCGGCCGUGGCGACUCGUGGGCUGGAGCACUGUAGAGGCGGGUGGAAUUCCGGGUGUAGCGGUGGAAUGCGUAGAGAUCCGGAGGAACACCAGUGGCGAAGGCGGCCCGCUGGGCAGUGGCUGACGCUGAGGCGCGACAGCGUGGGGAGCAAACAGGAUUAGAUACCCUGGUAGUCCACGCCGUAAACGAUGGGCACUAGGUGCUUGGGGGAGCGACCCUCUGAGUGCCGGCGCUAACGCAUUAAGUGCCCCGCCUGGGGAGUACGGCCGCAAGGCUGAAACUCAAAGGAAUUGACG
rnacentral:rRNA from 1 species